UACUUGCCAGCAUUUCGGAUGGGAACUUUAAGGAUACUGCCAGUGACAAACUGGAGGAAGGCGGGGACGACGUCAAGUCAUCAUGGCCCUUACGGCCAGGGCUACACACGUGCUACAAUGGUCGGUACAAAGGGUUGCUACACAGCGAUGUGAUGCUAAUCUCAAAAAGCCGAUCGUAGUCCGGAUUGGAGUCUGCAACUCGACUCCAUGAAGUCGGAAUCGCUAGUAAUCGCGGAUCAGAAUGCCGCGGUGAAUACGUUCCCGGGCCUUGUACACACCGCCCGUCACACCAUGGGAGUUUGUUGCACCAGAAGUAGCUAGCCUAACUGCAAAGAGGGCGGUUACCACGGUGUGGCCGAUGACUGGGGUG
rnacentral:rRNA from 1 species